UGGGGGAUAUUGCACAAUGGGCGAAAGCCUGAUGCAGCGACGCCGCGUGGGGGAUGAAGGCCUUCGGUUUGUAAACUUCUUUUGCUCUGAACAAGGCAUGCUAAUGGGUGUGUUGAGUGUAGGGGUUGAUUAGCGCCGGCUAACUACGUGCCAGCAGCCGCGGUAAUACGUAGGGCGCGAGCGUUGUCCGGAAUUAUUGGGCGUAAAGGGCUUGUAGGUGGCUGGUUGCGUCUGUCGUGAAAGCUCAUGGCUUAACUGUGGGUUUGCGGUGGGUACGGGCUGGCUUGAGUGCAGUAGGGGAGGCUGGAAUUCCUGGUGUAGCGGUGGAAUGCGCAGAUAUCAGGAGGAAUACCGGUGGCGAAGGCGGGUCUCUGGGCUGUUACUGACACUGAGGAGCGAAAGCAUGGGGAGCGAACAGG
rnacentral:rRNA from 1 species